rnacentral:sRNA from 1 species
UCUUCGAUCAGAUUGCGGAGACCGGUGG